UGGAGAUCUCUCCUCUGGAGUUUUGUAGCAAGCUCAGGACACAGGUUGGCUUGUUGCCUGCUGUCUCAACCCCUUCGUUUUACUGCAUGAAAGAAGCAGACUCUGAAGUUCAUCCUGACUUUUCCUGUCCACAUAUAUCAGGAAGUGUGAGAUGACAGUCUUUUUCUUUCUGCGUAUUUUCAAAGACAGCACAGAGCCUCUUCAACAUGAUAUAUCAGUAAUUUCAUGUAAGCUGGAGAAUUAUCUUUUAAUAUAUAUCAUCAGUAUAUUUAAGUUUCAUUUUAUAUCAGUUUGAUAAAAUUAAACUGGGCCUGCUUUCUACAAGUGUCUUGGAUGUUUUCCAUUUCUGUAAUUGUAACAUCUACUUACUGCACAUUAAAUAAGAGGCCUGGCA